GUUUUUCGAAACAGGGUUUCUCUG
rnacentral:piRNA from 1 species